CUCCUGGGCUUAAGUGAUCCUUCCAUCUCAGCCUCCUAAAGUGCUGGGAUUACAGGUGUGAGCCACCCCACUCGGCUUAUCUGCCAUUUUGAUCAUGUGACAUGUAUGUUACCAUGAUUCCGUACUGUAUCUGCCCACUCUGCAUUCCAUCCUGCACAUGUAGUGAUGCUCACCUACCUCAUGAAUUAUGCAUGUCAUCUUCCUUAAGACAUCGUGAUGCAGUCUCAGAGAGUCAACCAGAGAACUCUUUUUCCCUGUGCUGUUUCCCUUAUGCCCAACCUUUCUGGGCAUAAGUCUUAAUAAAACUUAAUCUCAGAAAAGUUUGACUGGCCUCAUAUUAAUUGCCAUUACAUUGAGAGCUGACAAUGUCAUACCAAUAACAUAUCUCUUGGCAACCAUGAAGGGAUUGUGAGGAUUUUUGUCCUUAAGCUGGGUGGUUGAGAGCUUGCAGGACUAGUUGAUGUGGCCCUUUUUGCAGCUAAUAAGCAGGUACCUGAACCUUUGAUUCAGUGUCACCACAAAUGGUGAGCCUUCAUCUGGCCUCCUGGGGCUCCUUGCUCCAGCCAUAAACAAUGUUUUCCUUUCCUUUCUAUCUUCAUUUACUCCUUUCAGCACUCCUUUUUAUUUUUCUUCACUUUCCCCAUAGUUUCACUAUUUUGGAUUGCCUUAAUAGACAUCUGUGAGAGAUGAAUUAAAACAGUUUCCCCCAGGGUCUGAUUAACCUGGCAGGAAGCAGGACAUGUUGCAUCCCUCCCCUGGCCUACAUGGUGUGGUUUGGAUUUCAGUCCCAAAGAAUCAGGCAGUCUGGUUUGGGCUGGAGUCCUGAAGAAUCUGGUUUCUGGAACUCUGGCUAUUGAUUCUGUAACUUUGUUUAAAAGCCCUGUCUACUUCAUUUCCCUGUGCCACACUUAGUGGGGAAGAGAGAUCUUUGACUUUUCCUGUUAUUUGUCUGUCCAGUGUGUAGUCCUGUCAGUUUGGGGAGACUGCCUGAGAUGGUGCCAGGGACACCUGGCUAGACUUAAGGAAAGCAUCAUGGAUGGCUGGAUGUGGGAAUCAGUGUUGGUUUUCUGCACAGUAAGGAAAGUUGAGAGUUCAAAUGAUUAACCUGCAACUAUGGAGUUAAGUAGAGUCUUCUAAUACUGUCUUCCUCUGCCUGCUUUGAAUCUGUUGUUACUAAGCUGUUGGUGCUGAGAUAAGACUCAUUAUUUAUGGUCUAACUGAAAUAUAAACAUUGGAAAGUCAUUUGAAACUGAAGGAAACAAAGGGUAAAAGAGGCUUUUUAAAACAAACUGUCAUAGAGACUGCUUUACCCAAAUUUUCGUCCACAGCUUUCCUUGGAUUAUCUAUUGGGGUAAACAAAAUUUAGCCAUAUGAACAGUUUCCAAUUUUGUUAAAAAAAAAUCAUUUGGAUCCAUCUAUCUUUUAUGAAGUAUUGACUUUGUAUUGCUAUCAUAUUUGGCUAGAAUAUGAGACUAGGACUCAAUGAAAUUGCUGCUCCCAUGUUCCUGAGGCCCUGCAAGCUGAAGCUUAUUUCUCAUGAUAUAGGCAAGAAAAAUGUGUCCGAUUGCGACCACCUUCCUCCCUGGUAAUGGGAGAAGAUGGUAUACUAUCCAACUAAUUUUAUGGAAUCUGUGGAUUAUGCUCUUUAGAAAGGAAGAUUUCCUCCCUCAAACAAGACCACGAGGAGCCUGGUUAAGGCCAGAGUUUUCUGCUCUUAUGAUACUGAUGAUUCUCGAAGAUUGCACCAUCCACCUUUGAGUUUGCUGACUCCCACUUGAUUGCUGGCCUGCCACUCAUCCUGUGCUGUUUUCUUGGAGCCUGACCUCCUCAGUGAUUGCUGCUGGAGAGGCUGAAUGGUGCAACCUGGAAGUGCAGAGUAGUUGAUGCUCUGUGGUGGAAACCAACCAGAUGGAGAGAGGAGUCUGCAGAGAAGUCUUCUCUUUCUUCCUCACCCCAGUCCACACAGAGUUCUGGUCCUCACCACAGUGCCUUAGGGAAUGGAGCUCCCAGGAUGCCCA